CUUCCAACCCUGCCCAGAACCUUAUCUUGGGACUCCAGGCGCAAAGACCAAACUCAGUUCCAACUGCUCAGGGUGACAGAAUGCAUUGAAUACCUAAUUUUCUUUCAUUUCCUUCCCUUGCAAGGACCAGGGUGACUCACAGCCCUCUCCUCUGCAUUUUAGCCUCACAACAACCCUGUGAGAUAGAGUAGCUGAAGGCCACAAGAGUUGACUUGAAACAAUCGGGGAAGAAGUGGUGAAUUAAAGCCCACCUAAUGUAAUUUAUAUGUGAUAUUAUAUAUACAUUUUUAUUGGAAUAAAUUACACCUUCAGUUUGCUACUCAUCCGUGCCAUUUCACAUGGAAUCGUAUAUGGAUUAUGACACACAAGUAUUCUCUGAAACCUUGCUCAGGAUAAUAAACUGAAAAUGGGGAUUACAACUUUA